ACUUUUCUCCUUUUUUCUCCCUUCCUCUCCCUGUUGUCAGCCUCCACCGUGGGCAGCCGCCAGCCGUUGCCUCCAUCCGCCAGCCUCCACCUCUCUCUCUCUCUCUGUCUCUCUCGCCAUCCGCUAGUCACUACCGUCCGCUAACCUCCACCUAUCUUACUCCUCCGCCGUCGUCAGCCCCAUCAUUUUUAAAGAUUAUGUCCAUUGGUGCCCGGCCUCCUUUACCACAUGGAUGACAUGGUUGUGGUCGUGUCCGGCCAAUUCCACCAGUGCUGUCUAAUGCUUCCCAUGUUUGGGAAGUAGUGUUCUGACCACCCCCUACCUGACACGGCUGGUCCUUCAGCCGCCGAGUAGACUUCAAAUGAUGCUGGACCAUUUACAGCGGCAUCGAUAACUGAGGAGGUUGGACAGAUGUUUGCCACACCAGCGGUUGAUCUUGCCCACCCGUAGGCUGUUCCACCACAACCAGCACCACCAACAGUCCUCCACACCAAUAGUGCACCAGUGUAUCAGCAUCGAUGACGGGAGGUCCAACCGCAAAUUCCACGAGCGCAUCAAUGCAGUGGUGCAAGGACACAUUUGCAUCCUUGGGGAUGUUUGAGGAAGGUGUCGCCAGAGCACCAACAAUUCUGAUUUGAGAGUCUGAAGAUGACCUACUAUUGGGAGUGUGACGAUGAGUCCAUGUUCUGGGUCUUCCACAUGUGGGCAGGCAAAUUCAUCUUAAAACAGUUUGCCAUUGCUUGAAAAGAGCUGGUCAAGCCACUUUGGCUAGCCAACGAGGUAUAGCUCCAACUCCAAUCAUUCUGGGCCAGCGGGGACUUUUAGGAUGAGUCCGCCAAGAAUAACACUACAAAAGAAAUCAUUUUAUAGUAAUGGCUUUUGCACAAUCAAGUUAAUAAUUUGUAAUAGUUUUUUCAAUUUGUAACAGUCGUUGUAAUGGCAUACCCUAUUGUUGCUUUUUUGGGUGUUACAAAAUCUUUGUAAUAACUUGCUUGAAAGCCGUUACAAUUUGUA